rnacentral:rRNA from 1 species
CCUACGGGUGGCAGCAGUGAGGAAUAUUGGUCAAUGGGCGGAAGCCUGAACCAGCCAAGCAGCGUGCAGGAUGACGGUUCUACGGGUUGUAAACUGCUUUUAUACGGGAAUAACGCUGCUUACGUGUAGGGUUUUGCAUGUACCGUAUGAAUAAGGACCGGCUAAUUCUGUGUCAGGCGCCGCGGUAAUACCGAAGGUCCGGUCGUUAUCCGGGUUUAUUGGGUUUAAAGGUAGCGGAGGCCGCAUGUCAAGCGUGCUUGGGAAUGUCCGGGCUCAACCCGGGCCUUGGAGGGGGAACUGGCGAGCGUGAGUCCGAUGAGAGGAGGCGGGAUU